rnacentral:misc_RNA from 1 species
GAUGAAGACGUAGCGAAAUGCGAUAAGUAAUGUGAAUUGCAGAAUUCAGUGAAUCAUCGAAUCUUUGAACGCACCUUGCGCCCUUUGGCUAUUCCGAAGGGCAUGCCUGUUUGAGUAUCAUGAACACCUCAACUCUCAUGGUUUGCCAUGAUGAGCUUGGACUCUGGGGGUCUUGCUGGCCUAUGGUCAGCUCCUCUCAAAUAAAUCAGCUUGCCAGUGUUUGGUGGCAUCACAGGUGUGAUAACUAUCUACGCUUGUGGUUUUCCAUCAGGUAACCUUCAGUGAUGGAGGUUCGCUGGAGCUCAUAAAUGUCCCUCCUCAGCGAGGACAGCUUUUUGAACGUUUGAUCUCAAAUCAGGUAGGACUACCCGCUGAACUUAAGCAUAUCAUAAGCGGAGGA